rnacentral:rRNA from 1 species
AGUGAACGCUGGCGGUAGGCCUAACACAUGCAAGUCGAACGGCAGCACAGUAAGAGCUUGCUCUUACGGGUGGCGAGUGGCGGACGGGUGAGGAAUACAUCGGAAUCUACUUUUUCGUGGGGGAUAACGUAGGGAAACUUACGCUAAUACCGCAUACGACCUACGGGCGAAAGCAGGGGAUCUUCGGACCUUGCGUGAUUGAAUGAGCCGAUGUCGGAUUAGCUAGUUGGCGGGGUAAAGGCCCACCAAGGCGACGAUCCGUAGCUGGUCUGAGAGGAUGAUCAGCCACACUGGAACUGAGACACGGUCCAGACUCCUACGGGAGGCAGCAGUGGGGAAUAUUGGACAAUGGGCGCAAGCCUGAUCCAGCCAUACCGCGUGGGUGAAGAAGGCCUUCGGGUUGUAAAGCCCUUUUGUUGGGAAAGAAAAGCAGCAGGUUAAUACCCCGCUGUUCUGACGGUACCCAAAGAAUAAGCACCGGCUAACUUCGUG